CGUGACUGCCUCUUCCAGCACUAAUUUCACUUUGACAGCCGCAACUGGUUCAACACUGCCUCCUCUUAUCAAUGCCCUGGAAGUUUUUACAGGCAGCUAUGAACUAACUGAUGGAAACAUUGUGGAAGGAUUGGUCUCACUGCAGAAUGAAUUUGAUGUACUGGAAGACUGGGGUGGCGACCCUUGUCUUCCUUCAACCUAUUCAUGGGAUUGGAUCAAUUGCACAUCUGGUUCCACAGCCCGAGUAACAGCAUUGUAUCUCGGUAGCUUUGAUUUAUCUGGUUUUCUUCCUGAUUUUAGCUCCACGACAAGCCUCGAGAUAAU